CCUACGGGUGGCAGCAGUGGGGAAUAUUGCACAAUGGGGGAAACCCUGAUGCAGCGACGCCGCGUGAGUGAAGAAGUAAUUCGUUAUGUAAAGCUCUAUCAGCAGGGAAGAAAAUGACGGUAGCUGAUUAUGAAGCCCCGGCUAACUACGGGCCAGCAGCCGCCGUAAUACGAAGGGGGCAAGCGUUAUCUGGAUCUACGGGGUGGAGAGUGAGCGUAGACGGCAGUGCAAGUCUGGAGUGAAAGGCGGGGGCUCAACCACCGGACUGCUCUGGAAACUGUACGGCUGGAGUGCAGGAGAGGUGAGUGGAAUUCCAAGUGUAGCGGUGAAAUGCGUAGAUAUUAGGAGGAACACCAGUGGCGAAGGCGACUUACUGGACUGUAACUGACGUUGAGGCUCGAAAGCGUGGGGAGCAAACAGGAUUAGAUACCCGAGUAGUC
rnacentral:rRNA from 1 species